GUGUAUACUGGGGGGUGGCUGCUGUGUCACUCAGAGCUGACUCAGAGCCACCUCCUCACAG
ensembl:miRNA